CGCACAGGUACGGCCGCUCACCUGGGACAGGUGGGGACAGGUGAGUCACCAUCCUGCUCAGGUGUGUCCCGUGCCCCCCAGGUGUGUCCCUUGCUGCUCAGGUGUGUGCCCAGGUGUGUUUUCUCCUCCCCAGGUGUGUCUCAGGUGUGCCCAGGUGAGUCUCAGGUGAGUCUCAGGUGAGUCUCUUCCUCCCCAGGUGUGUCCCGUGCCCCCCAGGUGUGUCUCAGAUGUCCCCAGGUGUGUUUUCUCCUCCCCAGGUGUGUCCCAGGUGAGUCUCAGGUGUCUUUCCAUCACCCCAGGUGUGUCUCAGCUGUGCCCAGGUGUGUCUCAGGUGUCUUUCCAUCACCCCAGGUGUGUCUCAGCUGUGCCCAGGUGUGUCUCAGGUGAGUCUCUUCCUCCCCAGGUGUGUCCCGUGCCCCCCAGGUGUGUCUCAGGUGUCCCCAGGUGUGUUUUCUCCUCCCCAGGUGUGCCCAGGUGUGUUCCCAUCCCCCCAGGUGUGUCCCAGGU